CAGUGAUGUCCGAUGAUGGAAACUACACCUGUGUUUUCCCACAUCUCCGGCCUGGUGAAGUGUUCCACAUCAGGCUGAUUGUUGGUGCAACAUGUAAACCA